UACGAGGGGGGCAGGCGUUGUUCGGAAUUAUUGGGCGUAAAGGGCGCGUAGGCGGUGCGGUAAGUCACCUGUGAAAUCUCUGGGCUCAACUCAGAGUCUGCAGGCGAAACUGCCGUGCUGGAGUAUGGGAGAGGUGCGUGGAAUUCCCGGUGUAGAGGUGAAAUUCGUAGAUAUCGGGAGGAACACCAGUGGCGAAGGCGGCGACCUGGACGGACAUUGACGCUGAGACGCGAAAGCGUGGGGAGCAAACAGG
rnacentral:rRNA from 1 species